GAACACCGGGGAAACAUAUUCAUGUAUAAAAAACGUACAAAAGUGCAUUUUGCAUGAUAGGUCACCUUUAAAGCUUUCACACCCAUGCACCUUAAUCGUAUUCUGGAUUCAUAUUGAUACUUUAGCUGCUUGGGAAUUUUGUUUGUACUGUCACAUUCAUAAUCCCUAUCCCCCUCCCUGUUUACAUCUGUAGAACAUUUGUGUUUUAUAGUUUUUAUAGACUCAAAGGAAUGCUCAUUAAUCUUGCAGGAGAUAGUCACCGCCUUGGCUGGGAAGAAGAACAUAGUUCCUGUCACAGAUAAUUUCAUGUGGCCUGACCCCAUGUCUCUGCCCGAGGACAUGAGGUCAAUUCUCAAUUUCAACGGCAUCAAAUGGUCCCACGAAUAUCAGGAGGCCACGAUCGAGAAGAUCCUACGAUUUCUGAAAGAACAGCAAAACCAAAUCGACUGCAAGGAUGCACCCGAAGGGCAGAAAAAGAAAUAAUCUGACAUUUGAAGUUUGAUUUCAGCUAUAAUGACUUUAAAUUAUGCCAAAUUCAACAUUGCCUACGGUGAAAAGGCCGGCAGCUUUCCCCUGCUCCAAAUGCAUGUGAAGUGAAUCUGAUUAUGUUUAUGCUCACACAAAACCCUGAUAUAAAUUGACGCAGUAUAAUGCAAAUAAUAAAUUAAAAUCAAAAGGGGAUUUCAGAUUGUAUAUAAUAAACUGUAAGCCUUUAAUGAUAUACCCUCGUUCUGCUGUAUAUGUGUGAUCAGGUACAGUAUAUGCCUUCUGUCUCUCAGGAAAAUAACUGUGAUAGAUCAGCUGCUGUUGGCACUCCAGCAAAAUCAUCACUAGCAAUCUUUGAAGCAGUUACUAAUCACAAAUCAUGCAACCACUUUUUGUUUAACUCAUACAUUGGACAUUCAUAUGACCAAAGCAGGUCUCUGACUUUACGGACAUUUGUGCUUUUAUGUUUGAGUUGUCAUAGUUAAGAAACUUUAUAGGAGAUGUGGUCAAUUGAUGAGAGUUUCUAUGGUGGGCUCAAUAUAAACCAGAGGCAUGAAGUAUUGUAUAAAGCUACAUGUUGUAUAACUGCUUCCCUAUUCUAACCAAAUACAGGUUCAAGCAGUGUACAGGCAACAAGAAAAACCCAGUAUUUAAGGAUCUUUUCCUACUCUGUAGUCAACCUAUACACACAUGAGCUCGCAAAAGUCAAAUAUGCACCGUUUACUUCUUGAAUGUGAAAAAGAUCCCAUCUGUGUUACAGCGUGGCUUGUAGAGUGCUGAUACAACAUUAAUCAUGUAGUGCUGCUGACUUGAAGUUUAAUUGAUCACAGUGUUAAGUCUGAGAAGUAAUGUGUCUGCUAUGCCAUUUGUAUGUUAUCCUUGUUUCCUCAGUGUAAUAAACAGAAUCAAAUUAAAUGAAAAAAACCAACAAUAUGUUUGAAUGAAAAUAGAA